AUGCUUGAUGAAUUGAGUGGCUCUACAAUAUUCUCCAAAGUUGAUUUGCGUAGUGGCUACCAUCAAAUUCGUAUGAAAUUGGGAGAUGAAUGGAAAACAACAUUUAAAACUAAGUUUGGAUUAUAUGAGUGGUUAGUCAUGCCUUUUGGGUUAACUAAUGCACCUAGUACUUUCAUGAGAUUAAUGAACGAAGUUUUACGUGCUUUCAUUGGACGAUUUGUGGUAGUUUACUUUGAUGACAUAUUGAUUUAUAGCAGAUCUUUGGAAGAACAUUUAGAACAUUUACGUGCUGUUUUUAUUGCUCUACGUGAUGCACGUUUGUUUGGUAACCUUGGGAAGUGCACCUUUUGCACCGACCGAGUAUCUUUUCUUGGCUAUGUUGUUACUCCACAGGGAAUUGAAGUUGAUAAAGCCAAGAUUGAAGCUAUUGAGAGUUGGCCGCAGCCCAAAACGGUCACACAAGUGAGGAGUUUUCUUGGCCUCGCUGGAUUCUAUAGGCAUUUUGUGAGAGAUUUCAGCACCAUUGCUGCACCUCUCAAUGAGCUUACAAAGAAAGAUGUGCCUUUUCUUUGGGGUACCGCACAGGAAGAAGCCUUCACGGUAUUGAAAGAUAAGUUGACACAUGCUCCUUUAGUCCAACUUCCUGAUUUUAAUAAGACUUUUGAGCUUGAAUGUGAUGCUAGUGGAAUUGGAUUAGGAGGUGUGUUAUUACAAGAUGGCAAACCUGUUGCAUACUUUUCUAAAAAAUUGAGUGGGCCUAGUCUGAAUUAUUCUACUUAUGAUAAAGAAUUAUAUGCUCUUGUUCGGACUUUAGAAACAUGGCAACAUUAUUUAUGGCCCAAAGAAUUUGUUAUACAUUCUGAUCAUGAAUCUUUGAAACAUAUUAAAAGUCAAGCUAAACUGAAUCGUAGACAUGCUAAAUGGGUUGAAUUCAUUGAGACUUUCCCUUAUGUCAUUAAACACAAGAAGGGGAAAGAAAAUGUUAUUGCUGAUGCAUUGUCUCGUCGCUAUACUAUGCUUUCACAACUUGACCAUCAAAGAUCAAUAUGUGCAUGA
rnacentral:rRNA from 1 species